rnacentral:rRNA from 1 species
UCCACCGGAAAAAGAAGAGUGGCGAACGGGUGAGUAACACGUGGGUAACCUGCCCAUCAGAAGGGGAUAACACUUGGAAACAGGUGCUAAUACCGUAUAACAAUCGAAACCGCAUGGUUUUGAUUUGAAAGGCGCUUUCGGGUGUCGCUGAUGGAUGGACCCGCGGUGCAUUAGCUAGUUGGUGAGGUAACGGCUCACCAAGGCCACGAUGCAUAGCCCACCUGAGAGGGUGAUCGGCCACAUUGGGACUGAGACACGGCCCAAACUCCUACGGGAGGCAGCAGUAGGGAAUCUUCGGCAAUGGACGAAAGUCUGACCGAGCAACGCCGCGUGAGUGAAGAAGGUUUUCGGAUCGUAAAACUCUGUUGUUAGAGAAGAACAAGGAUGAGAGUAACUGUUCAUCCCUUGACGGUAUCUAACCAGAAAGCCACGGCUAACUACGUGCCAGCAGCCGCGGUAAUACGUAGGUGGCAAGCGUUGUCCGGAUUUAUUGGGCGUAAAGCGAGCGC